GGUCGCGUAGCUCAGUUGGUAAGAGCGCUUGAUUCACAUUCAUGAGGUCGCAGGUUCGAGUCCUGCCGCGACCA
rfam:Candidatus Woesebacteria bacterium RIFCSPHIGHO2_01_FTLL_38_26b rifcsphigho2_01_scaffold_5637, whole genome shotgun sequence.